GAUAUACUUCCUCCGUCCAACAAAAGGUUGUCUUAACUUUGACUAAAUUUGAAUGCAUUUAUGCACUAAGUCAUGUCUAGAUAUAUCUAAAUUUUAACAAACUUGAGACAUCUUUUAUUGGACGGAGGAAGUAAAUU
rfam:Brachypodium distachyon strain Bd21 chromosome 3, whole genome shotgun sequence.